UCGCGAGUGGAAUAGGUUGUGUGUAUUUUUUUUUUUCAAGCAGAAGACGGCAUACGAGAUCAUGCCUAGUCUCGUGGGC
rnacentral:tRNA from 1 species